ACAGACGAGGAGCUUGCUUCUCUGACGUUAGCGGCGGACGGGUGAGUAACACGUGGAUAACCUACCUAUAAGACUGGGAUAACUUCGGGAAACCGGAGCUAAUACCGGAUAAUAUAUUGAACCGCAUGGUUCAAUAGUGAAAGACGGUUUUGCUGUCACUUAUAGAUGGAUCCGCGCCGCAUUAGCUAGUUGGUAAGGUAACGGCUUACCAAGGCAACGAUGCGUAGCCGACCUGAGAGGGUGAUCGGCCACACUGGAACUGAGACACGGUCCAGACUCCUACGGGAGGCAGCAGUAGGGAAUCUUCCGCAAUGGGCGAAAGCCUGACGGAGCAACGCCGCGUGAGUGAUGAAGGUCUUCGAAUCGUAAAACUCUGUUAUUAGGGAAGAACAAAUGUGUAAGUAACUAUGCACGUCUUGACGGUACCUAAUCAGAAAGCCACGGCUAACUACGUGCCAGCAGCCGCGGUAAUACGUAGGUGGCAAGCGUUAUCCGGAAUUAUUGGGCGUAAAGCGCGCGUAGGCGGUUUUUUAAGUCUGAUGUGAAAGCCCACGGCUCAACCGUGGAGGGCCAUUGGAAACUGAAAAACUUGAGUGCAGAAGAGGAAAGUGGAAUUCCAUGUGUAGCGGUGAAAUGCGCAGAGAUAUGGAGGAACACCAGUGGCGAAGGCGACUUUCUGGUCUGUAACUGACGCUGAUGUGCGAAAGCGUGGGGAUCAAA
rnacentral:rRNA from 1 species